GGACCACUCCGACGGGGAGUUAAGGCCAUACGGACAGCCGGGUCCAAUGCCGA
rnacentral:sRNA from 12 species